UGUGGCCUACGGGACGCAGCAGUAGGGAAUCUUCCACAAUGGGCGAAAGCCUGAUGGAGCAACGCCGCGUGGGUGAAGAAGGUCUUCGGAUCGUAACAUCCUGUUGUUAGAGAAGAAAGUGCGUGAGAGUAACUGUUCACGUUUCGACGGUAUCUAACCAGAAAGCCACGGCUAACUACGUGCCAGCAGCCGCGGUAUUACGUAGGUGUCAAGCGUUAUCCGGAUUUAUUGGGCGUAAAGUGAACGCAGGCGGCCUUUUAAGUCUGAUGUGAAAGCCUUCGGCUU
rnacentral:rRNA from 1 species